CGGUGCUUUUAACAUUUUUAUUGAUUCUUUUUUUGAAAUGGAGUCUCGCUCUGUUGCCCAGGCUGGAUUGCAAUUGCUCGAUCUCAACCCACUGCAACCUCCGCCUCCGGGGUUCGAGCGAUUCUUCUGCCUCAGCCUCCUGAGUAGCUGGGAUUACAGGUGCGCGCCACCAUGCCCAACUAAUUUUGGUAUUUUUAGAGACAGGGUUUCUCCAUGUUGGUCAGGCUGUUCUCAAGCUCCCAACCUCAGGUGAUCAGCCCGUCUCGGCCUCCCAAAGUGUUGAGAUUACAGGUGUGAGCCACUGUGCCUGGCCGAUACUUCUUAAACUCUUACGCCUUACGUUUGGGGACUGCCAACUGAACUGUCCAGCAGCAGAGCUACUCAGAGCCAAGGCUCUCCACGGCAUCUUGUCCAGUCUCUCAGGAGUUAGCAGGCUUACACACGAGGAGACGAAGGCUCAGAGGAUAAGGUGCACAGGGUUACGUGGGAUUAGGGGCAGAGUUGUGAUUUAAACUCUAGUUUGAACUUCAAAACCCAGGCUCCCUGGUGGUCUGUCCUUUUCUACCUUCCAGGGAAGAGCAUGAACCCUGGGCCCUCUUGCUUUACUCCAGCGGAAGCCACCUCUGCAGCCCAGGCCCAGCUGAGGUCACAGCUCACAGCCAUCCUUUCGUUUCUCACUUUCUGACAAUUGCAAAGACAGGAUGUGGGGGAGUGAGCCACAAGGGCCCCUGGGUCCUUCCUCCAAACCCAGAUGGGAACUGUUUGACCUGGGAAGGCCCGACUGGCUGCCGGGUAAACAGCCACCCAAUCACCCUGGGCCCCCUCACCCAAGGGAAGGGAGGAAGCGCCUCUUCCUCAUGCCCCUGAAGAACAAUCAAGAGAC
rnacentral:lncRNA from 10 species